rnacentral:rRNA from 1 species
UGAACGCUGGCGGCGUGCUUAACACAUGCAAGUCGAACGGUGAAGGCGGAGCUUGCUCUGCUGGAUCAGUGGCGAACGGGUGAGUAACACGUGAGCAAUCUGCCCCUGACUCUGGGAUAAGCGCUGGAAACGGCGUCUAAUACUGGAUACGAGCUGCGAAGGCAUCUUCAGCAGCUGGAAAGAAUUUCGGUCAGGGAUGAGCUCGCGGCCUAUCAGCUUGUUGGUGAGGUAAUGGCUCACCAAGGCGUCGACGGGUAGCCGGCCUGAGAGGGUGACCGGCCACACUGGGACUGAGACACGGCCCAGACUCCUACGGGAGGCAGCAGUGGGGAAUAUUGCACAAUGGGCGAAAGCCUGAUGCAGCAACGCCGCGUGAGGGACGACGGCCCUCGGGUUGUAAACCUCUUUUAGCAGGGAAGAAGCGAAAGUGACGGUACCUGCAGAAAAAGCGCCGGCUAACUACGUG